rnacentral:rRNA from 1 species
UACUUAGGGGGCAAGCGUUGUCCGGAUUUAUUGGGCGUAAAGAGCGUGUAGGCGGCCUUACAGGUCAGCUGUGAAAACUCGAGGCUCAACCUCGAGACGUCGGUUGAAACCGUAAGGCUAGAGUCCGGAAGAGGAGAGUGGAAUUCCCGGUGUAGCGGUGAAAUGCGCAGAUAUCGGGAAGAACACCCGUGGCGAAGGCGGCUCUCUGGGACGGUACUGACGCUGAGACGCGAAAGCGUGGGGAGCGAACAGG